AGUGAACGCUGGCGGUAUGCCUAACACAUGCAAGUCGAACGGCAGCACAGUAAGAGCUUGCUCUUACGGUUGGCGAGUGGCGGACGGGUGAGGAAUACAUCGGAAUCUACUUUUUCGUGGGGGAUAACGUAGGGAAACUUACGCUAAUACCUCAUACGACCUACGGGUGAAAGCAGGGGAUCUUCGGACCUUUCGCGAUUGAAUGAGCCGAUGUCGGAUUAGCUAGUUGGCUGGGUAAAGGCCCACCAAGGCGACGAUCCGUAGCUGGUCUGAGAGGAUGAUCAGCCACACUGGAACUGAGACACGGUCCAGACUCCUACGGGAGGCAGCAGUGGGGAAUAUUGGACAAUGGGCGCAAGCCUGAUCCAGCCAUACCGCGUGGGUGAAGAAGGCCUUCGGGUUGUAAAGCCCUUUUGUUGGGAAAGAAAAGCAGCAGGUUAAUACCCCGCUGUUCUGACGGUACCCAAAGAAUAAGCACCGGCUAACUUCGUG
rnacentral:rRNA from 1 species